rnacentral:rRNA from 1 species
GACGAACCGUGCAAACGUUGUUCGGAAUCACUGGGCUUAAAGGGCGCGUAGGCGGGCCAGCCAGUCUGUGGUGAAAGCCUCCAGCUUAACUGGAGAAGUGCCGUGGAUACUGCUGGCCUCGAGGAGGGUAGGGGCAUCUGGAACGGUCGGUGGAGCGGUGAAAUGCGUUGAUAUCGACCGGAACUCCGGUGGCGAAGGCGAGGUGCUGGGCCCUUUCUGACGCUGAUGCGCGAAAGCUAGGGGAGCAAACAGG